rnacentral:rRNA from 1 species
GACGAACGCUGGCGGCGUGCUUAACACAUGCAAGUCGAACGGAAAGGCUCCAGCUUGCUGGAGUACUCGAGUGGCGAACGGGUGAGUAACACGUGGGUAAUCUGCCCUGCACUCUGGGAUAAGCCUGGGAAACUGGGUCUAAUACUGGAUAUGACCUUUCUCCUUAUGGGGUUUGGUGGAAAGUUUUUCGGUGUAGGAUGAGCCCGCGGCCUAUCAGCUUGUUGGUGGGGUGAUGGCCUACCAAGGCGACGACGGGUAGCCGGCCUGAGAGGGUGAUCGGCCACAUUGGGACUGAGAUACGGCCCAGACUCCUACGGGAGGCAGCAGUGGGGAAUAUUGCACAAUGGGCGGAAGCAUGAUGCAGCGACGCCGCGUGAGGGAUGACGGCCUUCGGGUUGUAAACCUCUUUCAGCAGGGACGAAGCGUAAGUGACGGUACCUGCAGAAGAAGCACCGGCUAACUAUGUG